rnacentral:tRNA from 1 species
AUCGUGAUAGCUCAGCUGGUAGAGCAACUGCUCGGUAAGCGGAUGGUUGCCGGUUCAUUUCCGGCUCGCGCUU